GCGGUUCCGGUUCACGCCUGCAGCCGCAGGCGACCCGGCGACC
rnacentral:ncRNA from 1 species